rnacentral:rRNA from 1 species
AUUGAACGCUGGCGGCAGGCCUAACACAUGAAAGUCGAACGAGUGGCGGACGGGUGAAUAAUGUCUGGAAAACUGCAUGAAGGCGGGGGAUAACUACAGGAAACGGUAGCUAAUACCGCAUACCAUCCGAGGAGCCGAGAUGGGAUUAGCUAGUAGGUGGGGUAAAGGCUCACCUAGGAGACGAUCCCUAGCUGGUAGGAGAGGAUGACCCGCCACACUGGAACUGAGACACGGUCCAGACUCCUACGGGAGGCAGCAGUGGGGAAUAUUGCACAAUGGGCGCAAGCCUGAUGCAGCCAUGCCGCGUGUAUGAAGAAGGCCUUCGGGUUGUAAAGUACUUUCAGCGGGGAGGCGUUACCCGCAGAAGAAGCACCGGCUAACUCCGUGCCAGCCGCCGCGGUAAUUC